GUUUCAGAGGCAUCACUUCAAAACCUGCAAGAAUGAAAGUGACUGGCACUUUCCUCAACACCUGAGCAGGAAGGCUGACGACAUCCACUGACCGAUUUCUCUUCCGGGACUUCAACGGAGUGAUCUAAAAAUAGCAGACUAGAAGGAGUGCAGAAGUGCAGAAGGAGACGACCUUGAAGAUAAAUCAAAUUUUAAAAAGCUGAUCAUGGACCACAUUGGACGUAUCUUGACCCUUACCUCAACCAUCAAAAAGAUGGUUGACACUGUGAAGUCCAAUAAGGACAGCUGCAGACGGAUUGCAGACAGAGUCAAAGCUGUGGAAAGACUUGUUUUAACCAUCAGACAGAGUGAUCCAAGCCAAAUCUCUGAUGCUGUAACUGAAACUGUGGAGGAACUCUACACCAGCUUGAUUUCUGCCAAUGAUCUGAUAGAAAAAAUCUUUAAAUCUAAAUCUAGAAUUAAGGCUAUUAAGCGCUUCUUUAGUUCUGGCAGCAUUGAAAGAAAGUUAAACAGGGUAAAUCAAACGCUCACAGAGAACAUGCAGGUCCUUUCUAGUGCUCUGCAGAUUGAGCAGACCAACAUGCUGCAACAGGUGUAUGCAGCUGUUUCAAGACAUAAUACUGAGGAAGAGGUUUCCAGUAUGAUGGCUAAUACUAGUCUCACACCCCCUAUGCUUCCUCCUGCUACAGCAGCACUCCCCCUACAUCCUGAACUUCCUCCCACACCUCCACACCUGUGACCAGUCCUACAGCUUCUAUGCUUCCGCUGCUCCCUCAAACAAACACAAACACUCCCUCGGCAACCCCCUCAGACACACACACACACACACACACACACACACAGAGACAAAACAUAUUAAGGAUUGUACAUUAACAUCCUCUAUUGUAAAAAUUGUUGUCAGACAUAGAGAGAGAGAGAGACAGAAAAUGAGCCCUUCUAAUAGUUCAUAGAUGAGAAUAGGAGACAAAUCAACAAUACAGCUCUUCCAUAUUUUUCUUUUCUUUUUUUUAUCAUUUAGAAUUUACCCAAAACGAAAAUAUACAUAGUUUUAAAAAACAAGGGAACAUAAAAUAAAACACAACAUGUAUAAACAAGAAUAAGAAAAAAAAGGCAAGUGGUGUACCUACUAGUUAACAAAGUACACGAUGCUGGAUUACAGAGGUUCAAACAAAUUUGGGAGGCCUUGACAAAAUGUAAUGUUUCCAUUUGUCCCAAAUCUCAACAAAUGUGUCAGCUUUUCACAUUAAUGUCUAAUUAAUAUUGUGCUGGACACAAUAAACCACAUCAGUGUCUACUGUUAACUAUCAUAGCCAAGUGGCUAACAAAGGUAAACAGAAAUUUUCACUAUCCCUACUGAUGAAUGUUAUCUUGUUUCGGGAUACAUGCCAUACAUGACACCUGCUGUUAUCCAGUGACUCAUCUGUUUACAUUUAUCUUUUGCUCGUUUCUCCUCUUUUUUCUUUUUCUAAACUGAGCACCUGAUGGCUUUGACGUUUUCUUGUUCAUCUUCCGUUGGUGUUAAUUUUGCACUCAGUAUCAACACCCAUCCCCCACACCUUAACCUAGCACACCUACACCUUAGUGCACAGAUUCGGUUUGUAGAUUCUGGGAUUUCGCACAACCCAGUAGAGAAAAAUAAUUAAUACAUAAUGGGCUUGGAUUUACAACAUAAAUGGUUGUGUGUGAGCAGCAGCGGCAAGCCGCACCAAGGGGCCUCGCGCUCACUUUUCGCUUAUUUGUGUGUGAUAGAAUUUAGAAUUUGUUUUUUAUUUUAUUAUAUUUUGUUAGUAGCUGCCGCUCCAGCCCUGUGCAGCAAGCAGCAGGCGCACCUCGCAAAAGUAGGGCGCCGUUACUCCCAGCAAAUGGGCGAUAGAAAACCGAUCAGUGCUUGCGCUGGCAUGAUGUCGGGGCAGCAAUGAGUUUUGGCAACCCAGUCGAGGUCCGUUGGCUCUCAGACAUUAGUACAGAAAGCAUUACUUUUUUUCCUCUGGAGAAUCUUGCACUCAACCCGAUGUGUUUUUUUGUUGUUGGUUUUUUUCAAAAAUGUCGACCUAUCGUCGUCAUCAGGUUAUAUGCCACUUGACUGUAUGAGAAAUAUGUAGCUCAAUUAAUACUGGAUUCUUUGAAUUGUACAUAAAUAUUAAUUUUACUUGUGGCUGGUAUAAAUG